GUCGCCUCCUAAAAGGUAACGGAGGCGCUCAAAGGUUCCCUCAGAAUGGUUGGAAAUCAUUCAUAGAGUGUAAAGGCAUAAGGGAGCUUGACUGCGAGACCUACAAGUCGAGCAGGGUCGAAAGACGGACUUAGUGAUCCGGUGGUUCCGCAUGGAAGGGCCAUCGCUCAACGGAUAAAAGCUACCCCGGGGAUAACAGGCUUAUCUCCCCCAAGAGUUCACAUCGACGGGGAGGUUUGGCACCUCGAUGUCGGCUCAUCGCAUCCUGGGGCUGUAGUCGGUCCCAAGGGUUGGGCUGUUCGCCCAUUAAAGCGGUACGCGAGCUGGGUUCAGAACGUCGUGAGACAGUUCGGUCCCUAUCCGUCGUGGGCGUAGGAAAUUUGAGAGGAGCUGUCCUUAGUACGAGAGGACCGGGAUGGACAUACCUCUGGUGUACCAGUUGUCGUGCCAACGGCAUAGCUGGGUAGCUAUGUGUGGACGGGAUAAGUGCUGAAAGCAUCUAAGCAUGAAGCCCCCCUCAAGAUGAGAUUUCCCAACUUCGGUUAUAAGAUCCCUCAAAGAUGAUGAGGUUAAUAGGU
rnacentral:rRNA from 1 species